AUUGAACGCUGGCGGAAUGCUUUACACAUGCAAGUCGAACGGCAGCACGGGUGCUUGCACCUGGUGGCGAGUGGCGAACGGGUGAGUAAUGCACCGGAACGUAUCCAAUAAUGGGGGAUAACGCACCGAAAGGUGUGCUAAUACCGCAUACGCCCUGAGGGGGAAAGCGGGGGAUCGUAAGACCUCGCGUUAAUGGAGCGGCCGAUGCCGGAUUAGCUAGUUGGUGAGGUAAAGGCUCACCAAGGCGACGAUCCGUAGCUGGUCUGAGAGGACGACCAGCCACACUGGG
rnacentral:rRNA from 1 species